rnacentral:misc_RNA from 1 species
GCUCUGCAACAUGUCUCGAGAUCACCAUCAUUUUCACUCAAAGUAAGACUACGCAACAGCAUGCUUCCAAACGACAUGUUCACAUCCUCCUCAAGUGGUGCAUAAGUCAUGGACUGUGGUUGAGGAAUUAAAGUGGAUGCCAACAUUGUUUGCCCAUCAGAAUUUUUCUCACAAAAGCACUUAAAAACGUAAUCAGCAGCAAAGAAUUCUU